rnacentral:rRNA from 1 species
UACGAAGGGUGCAAGCGUUACUCGGAAUUACUGGGCGUAAAGCGUGCGUAGGUGGUUUGUUAAGUCUGAUGUGAAAGCCCUGGGCUCAACCUGGGAAUUGCAUUGGAUACUGGCAGGCUAGAGUGCGGUAGAGGAUGGCGGAAUUCCCGGUGUAGCAGUGAAAUGCGUAGAGAUCAGGAGGAACAUCUGUGGCGAAGGCGGCCAUCUGGACCAGCACUGACACUGAGGCACGAAAGCGUGGGGAGCAAACAGG